CUGCCUGAAUCAUGUUUAUGAGGAAGACAAAAAUAUGUUGUUCCCUCUUAAAAUAAUUACAGUUCGUUCAACAGAUACUCACUGAAUGCUCACUGUGUACCACAUGCUGUACUUCCAAGAAGACAACUUCCGGGUUCCAAGUAAAGUCAGAAAUAAGCACACUGCUGAAGGUGCACUGAACUGGUCCUUUCAGAUGAAAAGGGAGAUGUCUACGUAAUAACGUCCAUAUACUUUAAGAAAGACAUUGCAUCUAUCAUGCUUCUGCUUCCAGUCAAGAUGGAGCACUCCAUUUCUUGCAGAUGCUCCCUCUUACAACUGUGGCCAUAACACAACAAACAGACCUAGGGAAACUAAAAAGAGGAAAGAAGGUGGACUGCCUAGGGAUUUGGGGACUUGAGAAACAAA